AAGAGGCUCUCUAAAAAUCAGCUACCACUUCAUUUCAAUUACAGAUUACCAUUUUGUUUCUAGAGGUCCCCUAACCAGUGGAAACAAAAAAGAGGUAGGAGAAGCUGGGAAGUGAAUGCAUUUUCUGGGAAACAGUGCUUGCCCAUGCCUAUGAAGCAAAGGGACAAAUAUUUUCACACAUUAUCAGAUAGCCGAGUGAAACAGCCUCCACCAGAAUUUACAACUGAAGGCUACCAGAAUUUACAACUUGUGAAAUUGUGCCUGUCCGUAUUUUCUCAUUACGCUGGAUUCGGCUGCAGACACUGUGCACUUGCGUUUUCCUUUUCUCCUCGUCUCCCUCCCGCCACUGUCUCACUACUUCCUAGUUAAACCUUGUCUCAAGUUAUCAACACCCUCUGGAGAGAUAAGGCUCCUCUCACUUACAAGCUGUCACUAAUAAUCGAACUUUCAAGACUCCAUCUCUAAGAGAGACUCCCCAAGCCACGCAGGUCACAAGAAUUAACUGCCACCGGUGCUGGCAGAAAACUCGGCUCAUCAAUCUAUAGCUUUCUCGUCAUAAUUAGAAUAACGGCUCUGAAAAUUUGGGCUGAUGUUGACUUGGUCUUAGGCCGCAAAGAGUGCUGAUUAAAAUCUUGGUGUGAAAGUUAAUGAUAAGUGCUGGUGGCGUUGCCGUGGAGACGGGGACAAACAAUUCCCUCUCUGUGACAUUUUCAAUGUCCUGGAGAAGAAAAACUGUCCUCUUUAGUGUGGCAGCGUAUGAAGCUUAUUUAUGGCUACAGGGCUCAGUGGAUUGAUGACUGUCGUAACAUACUGUCAAAUCCUUUACUGACACAUUCAUUUUUUUGGAGCCUCUGGUGUGGCAGAAAUAAAAUAAAAUAAUAAAAACAAAACCAGGGGGAAAAUUCUCCAGCAGACCACAGACGGCCACCAGUGGACCUUCCUUUCACUACAGGACUCCAGAAUUAAUAGACAGAAAGACUUCAUACUUCUUGGCUUCGUAGCCAAGGAAAAGAGAGAGGCAUAAUUGGAAAUCGCUGAGUAAGAAAGAACAAUAUUGUGGCUGCCAGGUCACCCUAGGACUGGUUAUUAUCAAAAGGAGCUGGGCAUCAAUAAUGGCGAUACUAAUGAAAUCAACUAUGCAAAUGUGGAAAUCAUUUUUGUCCUAAUGUACCAAUUUAGCCAGUGAAAGAAAUGCAGCAUAGUCUGAUGUGCUUCCCAACACCCGGGAGCGAAGGCUGCAGAAAAAGCAAGGCUGUCAGCAGCCCUUUGAACAUGUAAUACCUGCUGCCAUGAUCAGAUGGGGGAAGAGCACACAGACAAAGGGGUACAAGACAGCCACCAAAGGCCAAGAAUUUUCAACAGAUCUCUGUCCAGUAUUCAUUUAUGAGGGAGUCACAGAUUUGAAAAAGUUGUGAGAUCUCUGAAGACAGAGACUUUAACUUAUUUUUCUUUGUGUCCCAGAGCUUGGCAUGGUUAAGUGACCAGAAAAUAUCAAAUAAAAGAAGAAAUGAAUAGGGCUGGGGAUUUAGCUCAGUGGUUU